rnacentral:guide_RNA from 1 species
AAAACAUACAGAAAUAGAAAGAUAAGAAGAA